rnacentral:piRNA from 1 species
UGUCGCCAUGGUUCUCCUUGCCUGACA